UUCUGAUGCAGCUUACACAGACCUUCCAUGUUUGUUCCCUGUCUACAGACCACGAGCUCUCUCAGGUUCAAGGCAGCAAGACUCACGAUCCUGCUUACAGAAUGUACCUGUUUUGCAGUCGUAGAGGCACCCAGCCAGAUGAGGUUCAAGCUGGUCUGCAUUGAUUUGAACAUAAGGUAGUGUUGGAACUGCUCUAUUACCUGGAAGAACUCUGAAUUCUGGUUAAGUACAUGUUGAUCCUGGUCAUAUUGGCUGCUUAAAGUGUACUUAAACACAGAUUGAGCCUGUCUGGAUGCUGUUCUUUCUCUUCAGUCAUUUCUCUCUUCUGCCCUGAUUGGUAUUCCUGCCCUCCAGCGUAACGUUAUUCAGAAACCUCUCAUUCUCCUGUGCAGCAGCAUAAAUAAGUUUGGCCACUGGGAAUACAGUACAGGGGUGGGAAAACAAUCCCGUAAUUGAAGACCUACUUCUAGCACCAGCGUUGCGAAUUAAAUCCGUCAGAGGACUCUCAGAACCCAGGACAACUUGCCACCUCAGAGCAACUUAUGCAUUGAAGAGUGUAGAUGGAAGCAAUGGUAAGUAAAUUAAACAGAGGCUAAUACUGUGAUUGACGUUGGCAAUGGUUGGCAAAAAAAGGAAGAAAAGAAAAAAAAAAAA